rnacentral:rRNA from 1 species
GAUGAACGCUGGCGGCGUGCCUAACACAUGCAAGUCGAGCGAUUCUCUUCGGAGAAGAGCGGCGGACGGGUGAGUAACGCGUGGGUAACCUGCCCUGUACACACGGAUAACAUACCGAAAGGUAUGCUAAUACGAGAUAAUAUACUUUUAUCACAUGGUAGAAGUAUCAAAGCUUCUGCGGUACAGGAUGGACCUGCGUCUGAUUAGCUAGUUGGUAAGGUAACGGCUUACCAAGGCGACGAUCAGUAGCCGACCUGAGAGGGUGAUCGGCCACAUUGGAACUGAGACACGGUCCAAACUCCUACGGGAGGCAGCAGUGGGGAAUAUUGCACAAUGGGCGAAAGCCUGAUGCAGCAACGCCGCGUGAGCGAUGAAGGCCUUCGGGUCGUAAAGCUCUGUCCUCAAGGAAGAUAAUGACGGUACUUGAGGAGGAAGCCCCGGCUAACUACGUGCCAGCCGCCGCCGUAA